AUUGAACGCUGGCAGCAUGCCUUACACAUGCAAGUCGAACGGCAGCACGGGAGCAAUCCUGGUGGCGAGUGGCGAACGGGUGAGUAAUAUAUCGGAACGUGCCCAGUCGUGGGGGAUAACGUAGCGAAAGCUACGCUAAUACCGCAUGCGAUCUAUGGAUGAAAGCGGGGGAUCGCAAGACCUCGCGCGAUUGGAGCGGCCGAUAUCAGAUUAGGUAGUUGGUGAGGUAAAGGCUCACCAAGCCGACGAUCUGUAGCUGGUCUGAGAGGACGACCAGCCACACUGGGACUGAGACACGGCCCAGACUCCUACGGGAGGCAGCAGUGGGGAAUUUUGGACAAUGGGCGCAAGCCUGAUCCAGCAAUGCCGCGUGCAGGAUGAAGGCCUUCGGGUUGUAAACUGCUUUUGUACGGAACGAAACGGUGAGCUCUAAUACAGUUUGCUAAUGACGGUACCGUAAGAAUAAGCACCGGCUAACUACGUGCCAGCAGCCGCCGUAA
rnacentral:rRNA from 1 species